AGUUUCCAUUGUGAAUGAAUAUUGCUAUUUAUUACGAAGAAGCUCAUGCAAGAAAAGCAAGAGUGGGAGCGUGUCAAAAUUUUAAAAGAUUAGAAACGCAUCUCCUCCUGUUUUUAUGGAAACCAAAGAAGCUAUGGGAUGAAAUCAACGGAUGAAAAAUAUUCAUAUAUUUCCCUUUUGUAAAGAAAAGCAUUUCCCUUGUCAAUGGUAUUGCUAUUUAUUAGAAGAAGCUCAUGCAACAAAAUCAAGAGUAGGAGCGUGUCAAAAUUUUAAAAGAUUAGAAACGUAUCUCUUCUUGUUUUCAUGUAAAUCAAUGGAGUUGUGGGAGGAAAUCAAC
rnacentral:lncRNA from 1 species